UCAACCAGUGCUUUACGACUGGCAUAUGAAAGCGAAAAUUAAUUUACAAUAUUCUCUGUUGUUAUCAGUGUUAAUCGUCAGUCUUGAUCAACCGAUAAAACAAGAAAGGUGUAUUAAGUUUGACCCAAACGUCAGUGAGUGCCACCCCAAGUGACCGGAACUCCUGUUGUCGUCUGCUGACAGCGUUUCCAAUUAGACGCCUUGGCCUGACGUCUGCUUUUAUCACCAAUAACCAUCUGUCUCAUAGCAGAAAGUAUAUAAACAGCCGUUUACGAAACGAUCAUUACUCUGCUAUGCUUUAAAAUAGUCUAAGUUUACUGUUCGCAGUCUACGCAGCAAUGAAGUUCCUGGUUCUAAUUCUACUAGUGUGCAUCGCGUCGACCAUGGGCUACUUUAACAACGGACUUGGCAGGAGAGGGGGCUGUGCAACUUAUGGACAAAGGUGCAACGGAGGAUUUGGAAGGAACUGCUGCAGAGGUCGUAAUUUGGGUUGCUUCGAUGGAUACUGUUCUCGAGUUGACAGUGGUUGAACUAUUCUGUGUCAAGUUUCCUAGGAAUUUCAGCUAUUCGAACUAAUAAAUGUACUGUAAUUACAGCAAUGCAUCUAGUAAUAAAAUUUCCAAAA